rfam:Dipodomys ordii contig_92981, whole genome shotgun sequence.
GGGAAUGUGGCUUAGUGGUAGAGUGCUUGCCUAGCAUGCAUGAGGCCCUAGGUUUGAUUCCCCAGCACCA